CUCUUGAAAAGGGUCUUCCAGAGGUUUAAAAACAGGACGACCAGUAACUCUUGCUCUCCUUUCUCUGAAUCUUCGAGUUAGUUUUGGUUCUUCUUCGUAUCUUUCCGCACCUGCGAACAAAGCUUCUAAAAUUUCCUUUUCAAGACCAGUAUUGUCACUGCCUCCUUCCUGUGAACCAGUAAAGGUUCUUGCACCGUCACUGCAUCAUAGCAAAAAGCAAUUUGAAUAGGAAAUCAUAUAAAGGACUCCCAAGGGAAGGGUUCAAUACAAAGAUUGACUAGAAGAACUGAAGAAGCGUGCCUCUGAGAAAAUUCUUGGAGUUCCACUUGGUUGCGAGAUGUAGAUCUCUGUCUUUGAGGAUAAACUUUUGGCAUCUUUAAGAAGAGGGGAUUAAACCAACAGAGUCAGACUUAGAAAAAGACGUUAUUCGAACACAAAGACCAAACUGAAAGUCAUAGCAAAAGCUCUCAACCUCACUGGAAAUUCCACCAUCAGCAUACUUCUUGGCAUCAGACAAGCCAAUCAGUUUCUCCGUACUCUGCAAUGUAAAAAAGGAUAUAGUGUGGAUGCCAAAAAAAGAAGAAGCAGCAAAAAAAUCCAAAGGCAGGCUCUAUGAAAUACUUACAAGAGCCAUAUGAAAAAAACUAAGAGAUACCACUAACAAUCAAGUGAUAAAAAAUUAGAGGCGACCGUGGGUAUGAAAAGUCAGCUUCAUCUCAAAUUUUAGUCAGUAUUAGUGCCAAGACUGAGAAAAGGAUUGUCAAAGUAGAUCAGGGGUAUAUUUGUAAUUAAAAUAGAUAAAGUAGUAGCUCAAAUUAAGAGUGAUGCAACUAUAGAUCACAGGUAUAAUUAAGCUGAUGGUCAUCUUGAUGAGCUACAAGGUAUGGGGGAAAUGUAAUAUAAUUCAGCCAAGAAAAGGUAAAAACAUAUUAUAAUAUUUAGGAAAUAAUAUAGUGAACAUUACUUUUCAAUAAUACAAAAGUAAUGUGCAAAAGCAAAACGCUGUUAAAGAAACGAAAAUACAUUACUUUCAGAGCUAAGGGAAUCGGCUUACCUUCAUCACAUCAUAUCCGCAUACGCCUGAUAAUUUUGGUGGAAAAGCAGAUUAAGUUUAGCAGCUAGGGUCACUAAUACCAUAUCCAAGAAGAAAAAAGAUCUCAAGGUAAUCAAGUAAAGCUAGAGUAUGCUUACCAAGAACCUGGUGAAUGACAUCUUGGCUAGCUUGAAAGCCUUCUCCAAGCAUCUUGAUAAUGAAUUCCUCAACCUCAGUUGGAGGCCUGUUUAUCUUUGGCUCGUUACUUUUUGGCAUUUCUUCACUCCAUAUCUCCGUUUCUGGAAUAUCCCUUGAGUCUAUCUUCAUUGGCUUAGUUGCUUCUCUGGGAGCAUUUGAUAUUGGCCGGGUUCUAGCAUACUCCUUAUUGAUAACACUUGAAACAGUACCACCAACUGAUAUAGAAUUUUUCUUCGGCCUCCGUACUUUGGCUUUGUUAUCCUCUUGUGGUCGAACUUCUUUAGGAACAUAGACCUGAGUUGGUUUUGAGGUUGCAUUCUUCAUUUCGACUUGGUCACUUUGAGGCGUCUUUUCAGUCAUUGCAGAGAGAAUCUCACCAGCCACAUCGACAUUCUGGCUUGCUUGGUUGUACGUAGCCAUAAUGACAUCAAGAGAAAAACGAGAACCAAAAGCUUCGAGAAGCCCUUGAAAACUUCUUGAAUCAGGAUCACUGUGCGAAGAGCUUGCAAUUGUUGACAUUACUCCUUCUAAUUCACAUUGCAAAACGAAUGGCUCCGUUAGCAAACAGAAGCUAUGCCAAAAUGUACAAUGCUGAAUGAAAAAUCUUCCCGAUAUUACAACCAGAAUGUUAUGCAUUCAAAGCUGCAAAAAGCAAGUUCAAUUCAUCUUCCUAAUAACCAUCACUGACUAGGAAAGCGAAAGCAGAACAUGGCUUGUAAUUAUUCUUCAAAAAGGACAAUACUUUCAGCUUAGAUUCAGACUUCAAUCUCUACUCCUAGUCUCAUACAGAAAAUUGCAUCGAACAAACACCUGGCAGGCAUCAUUUCUGCGACCUAAGUAGAUAAAUGGAAUAGCGAACAGCACAUUUCACUCUACGCAAUCCAUUCAAUGAUCGAUCUUUUCUAAGUUCCGAUGUAAUAACACAACACUGAAACAAAUCAAUGGAAUAGUGAUAUAGCAAAGGGAAGUAUGUGGCACAAUUAGGGAAACACACAAUCAAAGCGAAUAAUGUGAAACCUUGAGAAUCAGCAAUGUUUUCAUAAAAAAGAGCCAACUCGAACUCGUUUCGAAACCGCAUUACGCCAUAGAUAAGACCUCGUUUCCAACAAUCAGCAAUGCGAAUAGAAAGAAAUAAGUAAAACGGAGAGUGUAAGUAAGAGUGCGCUUACCGAAAUCGAUGUAGCCGGAGCCGUAAAGAGAGGGUUCUUUUAAUCGAGAAUCUAAAUUGCUUUCGAAAAGAUCGCAACUUGUGGAAUCGCCCCGAGAAGGAGAAAAAAAGAAUAGAAUUUUGCAGAAAAAAAAUAGUCAAGUAGGGAGAUGCCUUAUUAGGUGCAUGAGAGGAGAAGUGAAGCAAAAAGCAAGCGCCUUUGCUUCGUCCAACUCCGCUGUUUACAAGAAAGUGACAAUCUUUUUUUUGUUCUUUUGUUUUCUAUAAAGUUUGAAAAUGCAAUUGCAAGAGCCAAAUUGCCAACAAAUAUUUAACAUUUUUGAGUCGAUAAGGUACACAUUACAUGUGCGAAUGUUAUUGAGAAUUUUACAGAAUGCUAUUGAAGAACAGAAAACGAUAAGUGUGAUUUUUGAAUACUUAAAAGACUGAUAGUCAAGUUUCAUAUAUUGCUGACUAAUCCUCCAUAAGUUUUUUUCUCAUCAAAAUAUCACUCCUUGUUUUGUAUUUUACAAAUUAGCCCAUUUUUUUAAUUCAUUCCUCGUUCCUUCUUCUUCCUCUUCCUCUCACCAGUCAUUUUCUCGAUUCUCACUCUUCUGGUCGCCGACUAAUUUCUGGUAAGCUCACACUCCUUAUGCUCAUAAAUAGUUCCUUGAUCUACGCUACGACCAAUUCCAAAAAUUUUGCUCUUUCUCUUAUUACUUCUUUCUCCAGGUUAUAUAUAUAGAAUUGGGUUUAUCUCUAAAAUCUCCGAUACUUAGCAGAGCUCUUCAGGAUUUCGAGUUUGAUUUGAUGUUUUGAAAUCAUGAAUUUUGCUUUUCCAGUGGUUAAAACUAGCUUUGUUUGCUGAGAAAAGUAUGGGAUCGAGAGGAUUUAUUAACGAUAAGUGGUCAAUGAGGAUUUUAUGGGGUUGUGCAAUCGGCAGUGCCAUUGGUAUGGUCGUUUCCCACAUUUCUGAUAUUAGAGAUUUUGGAUUUUUGUUCCUCAAAUUCAUGAGCUUUUGGUUUCUCUGAGACACCCUUUUUAAACCCACAAAUGUGUAGGUUUAUACAUGGUUGCUGUAGAAAGACAAACUCAGAACAGGGCUCGUGCUAUGGCUGAGGGUUUGAGAGCUGCAGAAUCACAAGGUGAUGGCGAUAGUGUCUAAGUCUAUCUAUCAAGUAGUGCUCAGUUGAGUUUUUUGUUGUUUUGUUUUUGUUAUAAUGGCUGCUUCUUCCAAGAUUGUGUUGAUGUAGUUUCUGAAACUUGGAUAGUAGAAGUUGCUAAACAUACAAUUUGUGUUGUGGAAUAAAGGUUCUUUCUUUCGCCUGUCAUGCUAUGUGUGUGAAUUGAUUUUUAAUGCGCAAUUUCAGCAAGGCAUCUUGCGUUUACCGGAUGUGUAUUCUCUUAAGUAAAAGUCUCCCCUCCUAUAAAAGCAUGAGGGAUCAUUCAUCCGAAAUGUACAGCAGGAUUAACUUAUUACAUAGAAAUAAUGGCACUGGGACACCAAGGCAAAUGCUUUGGGUUCGUCCUCUUACUAUGCUUCUUCAGUUCAACUUUCGCACGCAGGAUUCUGAAGGAUCUCCCUAUGAUGGAGCCAAGCCAGCUAGAUCUAAACAAUGCAAUGAAGCCUGGGAUGGAUGUGCCACACCCAGCCCAUGAGGUACGACCUGAGCACAAAGUCAAGCCUGACACUAAACUGCAGUACAUGUCGGGUGUAUCAGAAAAUCCUGAGCACAAAGUCAAGUCUGACCUUGAACUUCAGUUGAUGUCCGGUGUAUCAGAACAUCCCGAGCACAAGGUCAAGCCUGACCAUAAACUGCAAUCCAUGUCCGGUGAAUUAGAACAUCCUGAGCACAAGGUCAAGCCUGACCAUAAACUGCAGUCCAUGCCUGGUGAACCUAAUGAACCAGAUGAUCCUGACCACACAGUUAAGCCUGAUCAGAUAAUGCAGACCAUGGUGAAUGAACCGGAUCCUGACCACACAGUUAAGCCUAAUCAGAUAAUGCAGACCAUGGCGAGUGGACUAGAAGAUCCUGACCACACUGUAAAGCCUAUGGGGUAUGGUGUAGGUAGGGGUUAUGGAAGUGGUGGCUCUGGUGUUGGGUAUGGUGUUGGUUAUGGCAGUGGAGGCAGUGGCUUUGGGGAAGGAAUUGGCUCUAGUGGAGGCAGUGGCUUUGGAGAAGGAAUUGGCUCUAGUGGAGGCAGCGGCUUUGGUGAAGGAAUUGGGUAUGGUGGUGGUUCAGGUAUUGGCAUUGGAGAAGGAAUAGGAUCUGGGUCUGCCCAACCCAAUUGUGGUCCUAUAACGGGAGCUCCAGGUAGCGGAUUUGGUGAAGGCAUUGGACAAGGUAGUGGUCCAGGCGAAGGGAUUGGUAUCGGUAUUGGACAGGGCUCUAGUGGUGGACCAAGUGUAGUUGUCCCAGGCACAACAAUCCCUCCCAUAGUGGUUCCAGGCGCACAGAUUCCCGGCUUUGUGAUUCCAGGAGUAACAGUUCCUGGUUACGGUUCUGGCUGCCAAACAGGUGGCUGCAAUCCGAAUCCACCACACUACUAUAACCCACCAAGCUGUCCCCAUUGCCCACCUUUCACUUCCGGACAAGACAAGCACAUGUCAGACAAAGGAACCAUGACCGAAGCUCUUGCACCAACUUCACUGGAGAUGCAUGUCUAAGCUAGCUUCAAGUGUCCUUGAAACACCAGUUAAAUAAAUCUCUCAUAAUGAAAUAUAUUUUGGUUUGAUAAAAGCUUCACAUAAAGUUGAAUAAGGUAACUUUACUGCACAAGUAAAGUUCAAUAAGGGAAAAUUAUUUAAGAAUAAGAACGAUGAAAGAAUUAGGCAACUGAUACUUGCAUUUCCAUGGCUGUAGCCUCUGUGGCAAAAUGAGUUUUAAAUUUAAUAAACCGGCCCACAAACUCCGUGAAGUUUUUAUAUUUUUUUUGUAAAUGAAAUCUAAAGAGAGAAUUUUUUUCGUAAAGCAUUAAACUUUCCGAAAGGAGAGUAGUGCUGUAAUAACAUAUCAUCUCCGACGACAGAGAAGAAGAAGAAGAAGAAGAAGAGCUACGAAGUGAGAGGGAUUUGUGUGUGAUAAUGGAUCGGAUUCUGAAGGCCGCUCGAACAUCUGGUUCGCUGAAUCUUUCCAAUCGAUCUCUUCGGUAAGAUCCAUUUUUAUAGUUUUCUUANNNNNNNNNNNNNNNNNNNNNNNNNNNNNNNNNNNNNNNNNNNNNNNNNNNNNNNNNNNNNNNNNNNNNNNNNNNNNNNNNNNNNNNNNNNNNNNNNNNNNNNNNNNNNNNNNNNNNNNNNNNNNNNNNNNNNNNNNNNNNNNNNNNNNNNNNNNNNNNNNNNNNNNNNNNNNNNNNNNNNNNNNNNNNNNNNNNNNNNNNNNNNNNNNNNNNNNNNNNNNNNNNNNNNNNNNNNNNNNNNNNNNNNNNNNNNNNNNNNNNNNNNNNNNNNNNNNNNNNNNNNNNNNNNNNNNNNNNNNNNNNNNNNNNNNNNNNNNNNNNNNNNNNNNNNNNNNNNNNNNNNNAAACGACAGGGGAAGGAGAAAACUGGUGGGAGGUGAUAAGCUUUUUUUCGAUUUUGGAAUUAUUUUCGGGUGCAUUGUUCUGUCAUCAGAUUCUUGACUGGAUAAAUGUCCCCAUUUUGUAGGCUGUUGAUUUGCAGAAGUUGAUUUUGGCACAUAAUGACAUUGAGGUUUUAAGGGAAGAUCUUAAGAACCUUGCCUGUUUGGUUGUGCUAAAUGUCAGUCACAAUAAGUUGUCUGAACUUCCAGCAGCUAUUGGGGAGUAAGUAUUUCUGAAUCUUUGUAGUUGGGUUCCACUCUGUUUAGCUUGAUAAUGUCCAAAUGUUUGUUCUCUUAAAUCAUUCAUAGGCUUACAGCAAUGAAGUCGUUGGAUGUGUCCUUCAACUCAAUAUCAGAACUUCCUGAGCAAAUUGGUUCAGCAAUUUCUCUUGUCAAGUAGGUUAAGUUCUGUGGUUUGACUUAAAUGAAGGCAUUUGGCGCAUUCAAACAGUUCAUAAUUGAUUAAUCUCCCUGUUAUCGCUUCAGGCUUGACUGUUCAAGCAAUCGGCUUAAAGAAUUGCCAGAAUCUCUUGGAAGGUGUUUAGACUUAUCCGAUUUGAAGGUUGUUCUAUGUUGCUUCUGGAUCAGUUGAUUUUUGUUUACUUCUCUUUCAUGGAAAUGAUUGUGCUUAUUGUUAUCCACAGGCCUCAAAUAAUCAAAUUUCCAGUUUGCCAGAAGACAUGGUGAACUGUUCAAAAUUAUCUAAACUGGAUAUGGAGGUAUUAGUGUAGAACUUUUCUAGAGUCUAAAGUGGCUACUUGGCAUUUCUUUUUUCUCCUUUCACUAUCUUCCAAGUGCAGUACUAUGGCCAGCCUGGAAGAAGGAAAUGGUAUUUAAAGCUAUGUUUGGGUAAAGCAAGAGGAUUUACCGUAGUUUAAAUUAAACCUAUUGCAGGGAAACAAGCUCACAGUUCUCUCUGAGAAGCACAUAGCAUCAUGGACCAUGCUUACAGAACUUAAUGCAUGUAAUGAUAUUUAGUUUUUCUUUUACGUUUCUUACAUAUUGAGAGAUUCUGGGACACAUUUUAAUUUCUUUUCCUUCUGCAGCUAAGAAUAUCUUGGGUUGUCUACCACAAAAUAUCGGAAGCCUUUCGCGUCUUAUCCGGCUUGACCUUCAUCAGAACAGUAAGUGUAAACUGAGAAGAUACUAUUUCUGCCAUACCUUUUUAUGUAAUAUAAAACUUAUUUCUUCUAUGUAAUUGUUGAAUUGUUUACAUAUUUGAUUCAUGCAGAAAUCUCUUUUGUUCCACCAUCAAUAGGCGGUUGCUCCUCCCUUGUGGAGUUCUAUUUGGGGUCAUUCUCAACUACGUUUUAUUCAGAAAGAUUGUUUGGAAUUACUUGGAAUCUAAUUAGAGACUUUCACAACUGACAUGCUUCUUUCUGUGUACUUAAUUCCAGAAUUAACUUGCUAUCAACAUUACCAGCAGAGAUUGGAGAUCUAUCACGUCUAGGAACAUUGGAUCUUCGUUCUAAUCAGGUUUGUGCUCCUUUCUUUGAUGGAUAUUGUUUUCUGACAUUCUAUAUAUAAAUUUUCGAACCUUUAUCUAUUGACAAUGGCUUUCUAAAUAGUGGUCUACACACUUGUGCUUUCUCCCAAUUUUCAGCUCAAGGAAUAUCCAGUUGGCGCAUGUAAACUGAAGCUCUCGUACCUAGAUCUUUCAAAUAAUUCAUUGACAGGAUUGUAUCCUGAGCUUGGUAUGAUUAACAAACAGCACUAACCAUUUCUUCAUCCCCUGUUUGCUAAGAAAUUUACAUAUGGCAUCAUAAGAAUAACUAUUAGCAUAAAACUUCUUGUCCUCACAUUUAUAGGAAACAUGAUUACUCUGAGAAAGCUUGUGCUUGUUGGGAAUCCUUUGAGAACCCUUAGAAGGUUUCAUUUUACCGUCUCUGUCUGCUUUCUUGAUUGCCUGGUCUUAAUUAUUGCUACUUAAAGAGGCCAAACAUUCUUUCCUUUUUUUUGCCUCCAGCACAUUAGUAAAUGGCCCUACAGCUGCUCUACUGAAGUAUCUUAGGAGCCGCCUUUCUGAUAGUGAAGGUACUUUUUUCCAUUGUCCCUCUUUGUCUCUCAUCUAAGUGGUCACGGCUAAGUAGCUAACUGUAAAAGGUUUCCAAUUAUAGAAACAAGUGCAAGCACUCCAACAAAGGAAAAUGUAAUUGCUUCAGCAGCUCGUAUGUCUAUUUCUUCAAAGGUAAGUGAAACAACAUAUUUGAGCACCAUUGUGUUAAGAAUUCCAUGUCCUUAAUAGAAACAGGAAAUCAUUAUCUUAAUUGAUUGCACAAAACUCAGGAACUUUCUCUGGAAGGUCUCAACUUGAGUGCUGUCCCUUCAGAAGUUUGGGAAUCUGGUGAGAUCACGAAAGUUAAUCUUUCUAAAAACUCUAUCGAGGAGUUGCCUGCUCAACUUUCUUCAUCUGUUUCCCUUCAGGUAAUAGGGUUUCCGGUUUGCCAUAUAUAUACUUCUUAAAUAUACAAAGAAGGUGCUACAUAUCUCUUUGCUACAUAAAAGAUCUAUCAGUUAUUGUUAUUGAACUCAUACUAUAUUUGCAAUCGCAGACUUUGAUUUUGUCACGGAACAAGAUUAAAGAUUGGCCAGGUGCGAUCUUGAAGUCACUUCCCAAUCUUGUGUGUUUGAAGUUGGAUAAUAAUCCCCUGAAGCAAGUAUGUUCAAAGAGAAUAAUAUUUAUAAAGUUGAUUAUAGCCUCCACCAAGACCUAAUGCAUCACAUUUUAUUAUUUGCUCGUAAGAUUCCACUAGAUGGGUUUCAAGCAGUCUCUGGGCUUCAGAUUCUAGACCUAAGUGGUAAUGCAGUUUUCAGAGAGCAUCCUAAGUUUUGCCACUUGCCACAACUGCAAGAGCUUUAUUUGAGGUUGGUUAUUAUACUUUAUAUUAUUCAGCGUCCAUAUAUUAUUCACUGGUUUAAGAUACCUUAUACUGACCUUAUACCUAACUUGACAGUCGGAUCCAGCUAUCUGAAGUCCCUGAAGAUAUCCUCAACUUAUCUAACCUACUCAUCCUUGACUUGAACCAGAAUUCACUUCAAUCGAUUCCCAAGGUAAAAAUAUGGCUAUGUGCUCUACUUUGUGGUUUUUACUGUAGAAUUGCUGCUGAAUCUGUGAUUGAAAUUUAGUGUAACCUGGCAGCAAUCAGCUAGUCAACCAAAGUUUUCAUGUAAUGUUAGUGUAACCUGGAAACAAUCAGCUAGUUAAUCAAAGUUUUCAUGUACUAUUAUUGCAUUGGAUCUGUUUUUCCCAUGCAGGGCAUCAAGAGCAUGACUUCACUCAAACAUCUGGACAUAUCCAACAACAAUAUUUCAAGUCUUCCCCCAGAACUGGUAAGUCUCUGUUGCUUUUCUUAACUGAAACAUAUAGACAUGUAUAAAGUGUAAUAAGAGUCGUGUAUUGUUCCUUAGGGUUUGCUUGAGCCUACACUUGAGGUUCUACGACUUGACGGGAACCCAUUAAGAAGGUAUUUUUUCCAAAUCAUAAAAACUGAUACAUUAAUAAAAACAAUAAUUUCCCAGAUUUAUUGAUUUUAUCUUUCACCAACAUUCUUGAAACAGCAUCAGGAGGCCAAUUCUAGAAAGGGGAACAAAAGCUGUGUUGAACUACCUGAAAGACAGACUUCCAGAUCAGUAGCUUCACAACAUUAACAUCAAUAUACCUAUGUUGUUGUUUGUAACAUAUGCGUGAAGCAGCACCAGAUUGAAUUUUAUUGAUGAGAGAUGAAAUAACAUAUUGUAAGAGAUUUUACUUUUUGUUGUUGUGUAUUCGGGUACGUCAUUUGUUGUACGUGAUUUGUACUACAAAUUCAGGUCUCCUAUGACUUCAACAGGAAAAAACUUGUAAAAAUUGGUUGUUUAUGUUUCUCCAUCCUUCAUUGUCGAAAGCAAACUUAUAUUGCAGAGUACAGAGUAUUUCUUCUUUUGGCAUCCACACUAUAUUCUUCAUUAUAUUGCAGAGUACAGAGAAACUGCUUGACUUGUAUGAUAACAAGAAUUAUGCUGAUGUUGGAACUUCCACUGAAGUUGUGAGCUUUUGUUAUGACUUUUAGUUUGGUCUUUGUUAUAGACGACUUCUUCUAAAUAAGACUCUCUUGCUCUGUUCCCUUCUUUAUAUAGAUAUCCUCAAAGACAAGGAUCUACCUCCUGCGACCAAGUAGAACUGCAAGAAUUUUAUACCAAACCCUUCUAUUGGCAAAUCCUUCAGAAAUUUUUAUUACUCUUCUCUGCAAGGUUCACAGGAAGGAGGCAAUGCUAAGAAUGGUCUUGGAGAGGAAGUUUUUUUUUUAGAAGUUUUUUUUUUUUGCAGAUGCAGAAAUAUACGAGGGAGAGCCAAAAAUAACUCUAAAGAUUUGGAGAAAGGAGAGCACGAGUUGCUGGUCAUCCUGUUUUAGAACCUCUGGAAGACCCUUUUCAAGAGAGAGUAGUUGCUGUGAAACAACCGUCACAUACAUCUAAUGAAGUUGGAAUCUCUAGCUAUGAAUGUGAUUGUGUACAAAACCAUCCCAUUCUUAGCAGAUGAACUUUGUCUCUGAAUGGAAUAGUUUGGUGAUGUCUACCUUUGUUUCUAGAUUUUGCAAUGUGAGAAAACAAAGAUAUAGUUUCACAGAUAAGAAUCCCACGCUUGUCCUCUCAUUUGAUUGCUACUUUAAGAAUGCCAACAAUGGAAAAACUCUUACAAAUUGUUUGUUUCUCCAUCUUCAUUGUCUAAUGCUGCUAACCUAAACUUAAGAAUCUUAUGGAGUUUGGCAACAGGUUCAACUAUCUUCUUCUUCUGUGGCAUCUGGUUUUCACUCGCUGAAACUUCCUCUACACAAAAUGAAGAAACAGUAACUCAAAACCAGCAGCAAAAAAUAAAACAUCCAAGGGACAAGAAACUAUAACUUGAAACAAUGUCCAAAACACAUGUUCCUN
rnacentral:lncRNA from 1 species